rnacentral:rRNA from 1 species
GAUGAACGCUGGCGGCGUGCCUAAUACAUGCAAGUCGAGCGAACAGACGAGGAGCUUGCUCCUCUGACGUUAGCGGCGGGCGGGUGAGUAACACGUGGAUAACCUACCUAUAAGACUGGGAUAACUUCGGGAAACCGGAGCUAAUACCGGAUAAUAUAUUGAACCGCAUGGUUCAAUAGUGAAAGACGGUUUUGCUGUCACUUAUAGAUGGAUCCGCGCCGCAUUAGCUAGUUGGUACGGUAACGGCUUACCAAGGCAACGAUGCGUAGCCGACCUGAGAGGGUGAUCGGCCACCCUGGAACUGAGACACGGUCCAGACUCCUACGGGAGGCCGCAGUAGGGAAUCUUCCGCAACGGGCGAAAGCCUGACGGAGCAACGCCGCGUGAGUGAUGAAGGUCUUCGGAUCGUAAAACUCUGUUAUUAGGGAAGAACAAAUGUGUAAGUAAUUAUGCACGUCUUGACGGUACCUAAUCAGAAAGCCACGGCUAACUACGUG